rnacentral:misc_RNA from 1 species
UUUCCGUAGGUGAACCUGCGGAAGGAUCAUUCAUAAUACGUGUUCUAUGGCGCUUUUUUAAAUGCAUAUCCACGUUGUGUGCACUGUUAGGGUUGAUUUUUCUCUCGAAAGGCUCAGCCUCCUCCCUCAACUAUACCUCAUCUCUUUGUCUGGAAAAUGCUAUUAACAAAACAAUUCAAACUACAACUUUCAACAACGGAUCUCUUGGCUCUC